UAUGGGGGGGUGGGGGGUGGGAGGGUGCAGUAAAGGAAUUUCUUGAAAGGUUUUGACCAGUAAAUUUCUAAAAAUCUUAUGGGAAAUAGCGAUAAAUGAUUCAAAAUUACCGACCUGUUGAAUCCUUUAAGGCAUUGAGUCAUGUUAAAAUGGAUUGGGUAUACCCAAAGUGCCAAAAUCCGCUGAGUCACUAUUUUCAUUAAUGAGUCACGAUUGCCAUUGGUUGACCUUAAACUGGUCACAUGAACUCACCUCGUACUGAUUGACAAAACAAUUUCCAUCAAUAGCGAGUUUUCAACAACGGAUGCCAAUAUCACAUGAAACAACAGCGAUCACGCCGAAACCAAAUGACCCCCUAUAGAGAAGGCCUAUUUACCAUGACUCAAUUCCGUAAAGACAAGCAGGGAUGCAGACUUGUGAGCCUAAGAAGGACUAAGCCCUGUUGUAAAAGCCAAAAAGUUGCCUUUAAAAUAGAGCCCGCUUCAACAUCAGCUUCUAUUAUUUCUAGCAACUCAAUCUUGCUGUAGUAUUUGUUCAAGAUAACCAAAAUAACCAAAAGUUUUGUUAAAGAAGAGAGGGGGUUUGCUAUCCCCUAAUUCAGCACGCUCCUGGCUAUUACCUAGAGCUGUAGUGUUCUCGUAAGCUUCACGACCUCCGACAUUACUGAAUAGAAAGGUUCUGAUAUAUUUUAAAUCUAGAGCCCUAUAUAAAAUAUUUUUGAUCAUACACGUUAGGAUAACUUUUUGAAGGAAAUAAUUCUAAGAAGACACUGACGACCUAAAGUUCCUUUUUUAAAGCCUUAAGCUGGUAAAAGAGCAAAGAUGUUCUAAAUUUGUGUUUCUCGUCUAAUAACUUUCCAGACUGAGAAGGGGGCUGAACGAUAACAACUUUUUGAAAAACCACAAAACCAAAAAUACAUAAUUGAAUACGCAUAUUGUUUUCAGCCGUCUGCUUUUGUAUCUUUAUGCCCUCCCCUCUCCUUUCAUAGACUUAAAAGGGCAUAUGUCGCAUUAACAGUUGGCUAAUGAAACAAAAGAGUUCGGAGUUGAAUUCCAUUGUUUCGUGACUUUUCACUGCCGUAAAAAUUCAUCCUCAAUUCCAUGCUUUGUACUAAACAAAAAAUAGAAUUGUAUUGCAUUUGCCAAUCAUGUUCACGAUACAUGGCCUUUAAUCUAUCUACCCAGCCUUCGAUAAAAAAUCAGUAGAAAAGAACAAGAGUUUUUGAAAAUUUGAAAAUCUCAUGUUACCAAAGCAGAGCAGAUUCUAUCAGCCAAUCAACUCUGAUACCAAUACUGUCACGCAAACCGCUGUUUAGAACUCAUUUGUCUUUUUUAAAAUGAAAAGAUAUAUAAUAAUACAUACAUGUCACAAAGUUAUGCUCACAAACAUUUGGCGCAGAGUGAUAAUUUUACUUAAUUUCGGUUCUUAAGAAACUUUUUUAAAAAUUUUUUUUUGUGAAAAACAAAUUGGGCAAAAUUUAGGCCGUACGAAGGGCGUUUUCUGAAUAUGGAUUUUGUGUUUAGCAAGCGGAGUUUCUUGUGCCAGUUUUAUUCGCCUAUAUAUCGAGAAACAGUACCAGACCUGCAUUCAGUUGUUUUUUGAGAUUGCAGUCAGGAGAGCCAAACGAUAAACUUACAACAUGAAGUACAUCGUUAUCAUGACAGCAGGCUUACUGCUAGCCUCUGGUGCACGUAUUCCAAAUGAAAGUGAGAUUGGUGGAGAUAUCAUUGAGAAGGGUGCGAAACUGGGUGUUGCUGAGAUUAAAUUAGGCAAGGCGAAUGACGGGACCUCUUCGCAGGAAAAACAUGAGAAAAUUGUGAAAGCUGGGAAAAUGCUCGGCCAGGUGCUUGCCAAAACUCUUGACAUAGCAGGAUUUUCAGCUGCCUCUGGUAUCGGUACCAUAGGUGGUAGAGCAAGUCAACCAUUUCUUUGAUCCUGAAAUCUGCUUAGAAUCACUAGGCUGCAGUUCCCCAUCGAAGAUCGAGAAGAGUGAGAUAUCGUUCAGCUUUCCGAGUGCCUGCAUUGCUAAUGGAGCAAGUGGAAAGUGCUUGCACCCUUGUGACGAUUUUGGUGAGGACUACGAGUGGUGCUGGAUCAAUCGCAACCCUGACCAGUGGAGCAAAUGCACAAAACCAGAACUUAACGACUGUAUGUCUAUCACAGUGCCCCUAAUAAAUUUUCCAAAUGUUUUGUCAAGGCAAAUGUCAAGUAAAACACAUUACUUAAUAAAUUGAAUCAAUGAUGAUGGAUUAAUUAAAGGAUUUCAAUCAAAUAGAAAGAAAAUUUGUCUGUGACAAAAACCUGCUUCGUUUUCCGCGUUGUUCAAAAUGAUAAAUUGCUUCUUACCAAGGUUUCAUGACUAUAUGCAUUCAGUGGCGGCGCCAAGGGGUGGUAUGGGGGGGUAAUUACCUCCCCACUUUCGUCGAAACAUGGUCUACAUAUUUCGUCUAAAAACGGAUUAAAAAGCACUAGGUAGGGGUAGAUCAUAAUUCUAAAGGAAAUUUGACCUGAUACAAAGCACUGAAACGAGGCCUAUAGGGCGUGGUCUCACGGGUUACACCCAUUACCCUCCCACUCUGCAGCAGCUGACGCCGCCACUGUAUGCAUUAUCCUUUUUUUGAUGCCAAUUUAAUGUCAAAUUGUAUUAUUUUGUUUGAAUAUCUAGAAUGGAUGUUAAGACUGUUUUCUGUAAAUUAUGUCCUGAAGCUGUUCUCACUUGUUCCUUUAAUUUAAGGAGGUAUCCUGAAAAUUUUUCGAUAAUUUCUUCACAAAAUUGUACAAAUGCUAUUAUUCGAGUUUGAAGGGAGAAUAGAACCGGGAUCUUAUAUUCAAUUCUUCAUAGUAUUUACUAUUAUCUUCCAAAAUGUCUCCGCAAAGCAAACUUUGAAAAAGUGCGCUAGAUGAUCAGUUUAUCCAAAGAAAAUAUUACCUAGAAAAAACGUCUCUUUCUUCGCUACAAUUACUUACUUGGACUAUAUCAAAGGUUGGCUUUGAUAGUGUAGGCCUUUAACUACAUUGUGCCACUUUUCCUUGAUGCAAAUAAGAAAUAAGGAAAUUGCUUCUGUCAUGGGCAAACUACCGCGGCAGUGCAGAUGUGCCACGCCCCUUGAAACAGCAAAAGAGGAAUGUGCCCUCUAGCUAUAAACUUGAAAAUGACGCUUGGUCAGGAUUCAAAAUGAAUUACUAAAAUUUCUACUUUAUUAAGUAAACUCCUGAAUAUAUCGAAAGAACACAGCGAGGGCUGCAAAAACCACACGCGUCUAAAAGAUUUAGUCAUAAAAAUGUUUAGGUCUUAUCGGUAGCAAGUCUAUAAGAAUAUUUGUCGGUAGCUAUUGAAUGCCAUGGAAGUCAAGCUUCUACGAGCCUAUUUUACAACCAAAAAAUAUUUCUAUAAAGAAGUGGUGCAACAGAGAAAGAGUGCGUUUAGGGAGCUAAGGACCGGCAAGUUACUCGCGCGAUUUUGCACUAACUUCAGAAACAAACAAGAAAGCUAUAGUAAAUUCUAAUAACAUCACAACUUUCUAUUAACUUUAAGAAAAGUAUCCAUCUUGACCUAAACCUUUCAAAACCUUCCAACAAAUAAAAACAUAACAAGCAUGGCCUUGAAGUGGUGUUUAUAUUGAUGGAGAAAAUGGCAAGUCACUACAGAACAGGUCCAAAAGUUAGAUGCGUAAAGAUGUUCCCUAUCUUCUCGUAAUGACCCUAAAAUUUUUGGCAUUGUAAAAACAGAAUACAGAUUUGACUUGCCAAAGUCUCAGUUAUCAAUCAAAGAAAAAACAAAAAAUUUGCCCAGGUCUGGAGAGAGAGAGACAAUAAGAAGAGGGAGGAGAGAAAAAAGAAAAAAGAGAAGGGAGGAAAAGUUUUUCCCCUCGCUCUUUCCUUUUUCCCCUUCCUUCUCCCCCUCAUUCCCUUCCUCCCACAUUCCUUUUUUCUAAAAUUUAUUGUUUUUUUAUUACUAACUAUUU